rnacentral:lncRNA from 1 species
AUGCUCAUUCACACACACACACAUACACACACACACCCAGAACCUCCACUUCACACACGUACACACAUGCACACAUGCACACACAUACUCCUGAAUCCCUGUCUUUCCCCUUCGAUCCCUCAGGAAUCUUGUGUGGAAAGUGAGUUCAGAUUCCCCCCUCAUAUGUAUUUUAGGUUCAAAUUCUAUUCCCAGCAAAGAGAUAAAGCUGAAGGCAUUUUAGAAGCUCGUAUCUUAAAUAGCAAAGUAGAGAAGAUAUAUACAAAGAGCUCCAGAUUCAUUUUGCUAUACUUUGCAUUUUCUCACCUCAUACUUCUAUUUAUGUAACCAAGUUAUGACAAUGAAUUGGCAUUUUCUUGUGGAUGACAUAUGAUCUUCUAUUUUACAGAGUCAACGCUUCCAUGAGCAAAAGCAACCGAGGCAGUGACUGAGCUGUUUCUCUCCUGUCUAUUUAUUACAUAGCCAUCUAACAGAUCUUUCCUGAGCACCUACUAUGUGUCAGGCACUGAGCCAAGAGCUGCGAGUGUCCUGACAGAUGAGACCCACACAGCCUGUGCUCGCACAGACCUUGCUUUACUCCCACUGUAUCUGUCUUUCUUUCCUAUUUAAACCAAGUACUUCAAAAAUUAAUGGUCAUACAUCACAUUUUAUGUAAUCUUAGACAAGUUCCUACUCCUCUAAUUUUGGGUUUAUCGUAAUACCAGACUUGGUCCUAUGCUGUCUGGUUUUGAUGCAAGAUUGAGAGCGUCUUGGAGAUCUUACCACCAAACAUUAACUGCACGUUGGAUUUCUGACAAAAUUAUGUUAACUAUUCACAGAUGAUUGGGAAAGUGUGUCUAUGAUCAGGAAAGAGGUAAAAUGUGAUGGCUUCCAUCUUAUGGAACAAUACAUAUUAAAUAAACUGUUAAACUUGCCACCUUUCCGUUCAGAACUAGUUUAUUCCUUUCAAGGCGAGGGGAUGGCGCUCGAGAACAUGACUCAGUCUCAGUCCUGUGCCAACACAGGAGGAGUUCAAAAAAGGGUGAGUCACCGUCACAUAGACGGGUCCGAGAAUACAGGGGGGUGACCCACAUGAAGACAGAGGGAGCCAGAAAACAGGGAAUACAGGGUCCAAGCGAGGUCACAGCCUCAGAAUCUUUCUCAACAAAUAGCAGAGGAAGAGCACCAAAUGUUCUACAAUGACCUGAUUUGACCAGGGUCAUUUGGUGACGAAUCCUAAAACAUGAAGGAAGAAUAAUGAGCCAAAGCCGUGACAGCCAGGCAGCUGCGACACUGAGGAUGGAGCAGCCUUGCCAUGGCCUGGGCCACAGAGGCACCAAGAGCACCCAUUGCAUGUGGCCUCCAUGGCUAGCACCAAGAUUGGCAAGACAAAGCGGAACAAAAGCCAGGACAAAUGCUCAGAGUUGAAUUUCCAGCUGCAAGCAAAACUCAGCAGCAGCAGGUCCCUAUGUUCACCCUUCUCACAAGCGUCACAGCUCCCAGGACCACCUUCUACCUCUGGCGUGUAUGCAGUAGUGGGUGGGGCGCACCCAGCUGUGGGCUUCAUGGUGGCUAGCUUUGUGGCAGUUACACAGCUGAGACCAGCAGCAGAGCGACAGGGCAGGACUGGGGACCCCCUGGACCCACUGUGAGAGGGAGCUCAGCUGAAACUCCAUUGACCACUGACCUUCACGAGCCCUUCUCUGAUGGGUGGCCGCAGGGAGGUCUGGGGUCUCCUGGAAUCUGUCAGUUCAGAACCAGGAAUCCUCAAAACAUCAAUUUCUUUUCCUCAGUACCCGGUCACCCCGGGGGAGGGCCAGGAGAAAGGGUAACAGUAUAUAUUCUCAGCAAAUACCACGAAAAAACACAGUGUCCCUUCACUCAAGGGGUUCUAUGGACUGGCUCAAGUCUAGGAAGUGAUUAAGGGACCAUGACUCUGUUUUCAUGAUUUAGGAUGGACUUUUGUUCACUUGAUCUAGAACUGAUCUCUCAAUCUAGAACUGUUCUGUUCAUACAGAUCAAGGAAGGCUUUAGUUGGCCUCCCAUUUGUGUUACCUCUGGGAAUGCCGUGAUGAAUGAGCCAAUACCGUGGGUCUCUGCAUGUCAGACUAUUCUGAUUUCUGCUUUGAUUGACUCUGCUGUGCAUUGUGGUGACCACAACCACCCUGCAUUUGGAGCUUGAGUGCCCCCACCUGUCCCCUUCCUCUUGGAAUUCAAUUACUCCCAUUGUGUCAUGUUUCACACUAUGAGGUCCAGCCUUCAGAGAAGAAUGAUCACAGGGCUCUCCAGUUGACUGGGCACCCCCACAGAUUAACUGCACCCAGUUAUAUUAUAGUGAAAGGGGAGCCCCCUGGACCCUUGCAGGAUGAGCAGGUCUUACAUGAUAAAUCCACCCUAACACUCCAAUGUCCCUAAGCCAUUAGAUACCUUCUGGAGCACACUAAACCUAUCCUGGCAUUUUGACUUCAUUAAGUGUAGGCCACCAUUCAGUCCACAUCCUUUUUUUUUUUUUUUUAAGAUUUUAUUUAUUUUUUCAUGAGAGACAGAGAGAGAGAGAGAGAGGCAGAGACACAGGCAGAGGGAGAAGCAGGCUCCAUUGCAGGGAGCCUGAUGUGGGACUCGGUCCCGGGACUCCAGGAUCAGGCCCUGGGCAGAAGGCAGCGCUAAACCGCUGAGCCCCCCGGGCUGCCCAGACAUCUUAGCCAACCAAUCACACAAGCCCUUGCUGACCUCUCAGACUAAGGACACUGAACACACAAUCUCUACUUAGUGAGUUCAUAUCCAUAAAUCCAGCCUGAUCCAAUGUUAUGUCCCUUCCACCUUUGUCCCACACCUUUAAUUGCCAUCCCCACAUAUAUUCCCCAGAUUUCCGUUCAUAGAAAGGGGGAAAACCACACAGUUCUUCCCAAGUAUGGCAGAUCUCCUCUUGGUCACAUGGUCUCUUCAGGUCCCAUGGGGACUUGAGCCAAGCUUAGGUCUGGAAGCCAAGAGGAGUGGGAGAGAGUCAGCAGUGCCCUGCAUGGCCUUUCAGGGAACAACCUUUCCAGAACUGAGCUGUUGGUUAGACGUGGAGAAGUAGGAAAGGGGAAGCGGUAUGAACUGGGUGCCCAGGAAAUGGUGGAGUCAGAAGCUAGGAUGGAGAGUGGAGUGCACACUCUGGGCUGGGGGUGGGGUAUCUCAUGUACUUACUGGAAGAUUUAAUGUUCUGUCUAUAUUUAUUCAUUUGAAUAACUCAGUCAUAUGAAACAUUUUUUCACCUCCUUAAUGAGGUCAACUCCAGGUAGUAUAGCAUUGUUCGUUUUAGUUCUCAAAUGUGAUAAAUACCAGGCUGUAUUCAUUCACACAUAUACAUAUAUUUGGUCAGUUUUACUGAUGUGUAAUUUGCAUACAUACUCCACAUUUAAGUAUAUAAUUUGAUGAGCUUCAGCAGGCGUGCACCCUGCUACACUAACUCCCCAACACUCCCGUCUCUCCUAUCCUGAGUCCCAAUAUGACCUGACCAGGGGUGCAAAAUCUGUGACAGUGUUAGUUUCAAGUGUAUGAAAGGAACAUUGACAAAAGUAAGAGAAGUAGACAGACUCACUUCUGUAACUGUAGAUUUUAACAUCCCAUCCCUCUCUUAGUAAUUGGUGGUCCAAUUAGAUAAUUGAUCUGUAAGGACAUGUAAGCUCCAACUGACACUAUUAGCCACCUCAACCUAAUUGGUAUAGAACCCUACACCUAACAACUGAAAAAUAUACAUUUAUUUAAAGUAUACAUGGAAUGUUCUCCAAGAUAGACUGCAUGCUGGGACAUAAAGUAAUUCUCGAUGAAUUUCAAAAGAUUUGAAGAUUCAAGAGUAUGUUCUCUGAGUACAGUGGAACUAAAGUAGAAAUCAUUAACAAUAUCUCUGGUUAAUGUCUAGAUAUCUGAAGAUUAAACUUUUGUUACACAGGGCUACUUCUAUGCAAUUUACUAUAAUUCUUUUUUUGUAUUCAUAGUCUUUCGAGUAACUUCCUUGAGAUUAUACAUUAAUUAAAAGCAGGGCCUGUGAUUCAACCAACUCUGUCACACCCAAUGUCCACACACUGCUUUGCUAUAAUAAGAUCUCGGUAAGUGCUUGAUGAGGGAGUAGGUGAGCAAUGGUUUCCAGGAAUCUAGGGAGAGCUUCACUCAGAGAAAAAAUUGCUUCAGGUAAAAAAUGUCAGGGAUUGUCAACAGGCUAGUGAAGAGAAAUAGAUAGAGAAGGGUCUUUGUUGGUGACCUUGAAUUAAAAGGUCAUAGGAACACCCAAGUGCUCACAUGUACAUACCUGUGCACACAGGCUUCCAGGCAGGGUUGAGAAUCAUUAUCUUAGACCUUCUCCUUUGGGUAAAUGCGUCUGGGGAGUCGGCCUCCCCUGUGCCUUCACAUUUGGAAGCUGAAUGUCUGCCACGGAGGGUGUGCAAACAGGUAAGUGUGGGUCCAGGAGGCUGGCAAUGCUCCCAAAUCUCAGCCAAACCACUCGAUCACCCCUAAAGAACCCAGGCCUCUGGUCCCUCUGCACGUGGUUGCAGCUGCCCAUGGCCCUCUGGGCCAGGAACACAGCAUCCUCCAGAUCCUAUAAUCCCAGGAGCCACCCUCACUCUCAGACCCCACCUAGAGUUCAUUCUUGCUCUAAACUAGACAGAAGCAAACUUCUCCAAUGACAGAACCCAAAGGAACCCAUUUGACCAUAAUACUCACAUUUGCCUUCUUUUUCAGGGAUACAAACCUAUUUUGAGGCCAGUGACAUGCAGUGGUACUUUCAAGUUGAGCUGGAGUGUUUCCUCUCCCCAGGCACCUAGAGUGAGUGUUGCAAAUUCCCUGAAACACAAAUAAUUCCCAUUAGCUCUGGGAAACGGAAAGGUCAAACUGCCCUGUUUGAGUGCUUUGUGAAUUGUUGUUAUAUAAGCAAACAAAUAAUGACCAAGUAUCACCCCUCUAAGAACUACAUGGAAUCACCGACCUGCAGAGCAGGAUGGGGUUCCUCUAGGGUGCUACUCAUAAUCACACCAUUUGUUGCAACUGAAUUGUGUCCCUCCCAACCCAUAAACUAAAGUCCCAGUCCCCAGGACCCUCAGGACAUGAGCUUUUUUGGGGUUGGUGCAAACGUAACUAGUUAAGAUGAGGAUGUGCUA